GACAGAGGGGGCAAGCGUUGCUCGGAAUUACUGGGCGUAAAGGGUGCGUAGGCGGGCAGGCAAGUCAGUGGUGAAAUCUCCGGGCUUAACCCGGAAACUGCCGUUGAUACUAUCUGUCUUGAAUAUCGUGGAGGUGAGCGGAAUAUGUCAUGUAGCGGUGAAAUGCUUAGAUAUGACAUAGAACACCCAUUGCGAAGGCAGCUCGCUACACGGUUAUUGACGCUGAGGCACGAAAGCGUGGGGAUCAAACAGG
rnacentral:rRNA from 1 species